CCUACGGGUGGCAGCAGUGAGGAAUAUUGGUCAAUGGGCGCUAGCCUGAACCAGCCAAGUAGCGUGAAGGAUGACUGCCCUAUGGGUUGUAAACGUCUUUUAUAUGGGAAUAAAGUGCAGUAUGUAUACUGCUGUGCAUGUACCUUAUGAAUAAGGAUCGGCUAACUCCGUGCCAGCAGCCGCGGUAAUACGGAGGAUCCGAGCGUUGUCCGGAUUUUUUGGGUUGAAAGGGUGCCUAGGGGGUUUGAUAAGUUAGGGGUGAAAUGUCGGGGCGCAACCCCGCAACUGCCUGUAAUACUGGUAGACUAGAGUAUAGUUGAGGUAGGCGGAAUGUAUGGUGUAGCGGUGAAAUGCUUAGAGAUAAGACAGAACACCGAUUGCGAAGGCAGCUUACCAGAUUAAAACUGACGUUGAGGGACGAAAGCGUGGGUAGCAAACAGGAUUAGAUACCCUUGUAGUC
rnacentral:rRNA from 1 species